GAUGAACGCUGGCGGCGUGCCUAAUACAUGCAAGUCGAGCGAACAGAUGAGGAGCUUGCUCCUCUGACGUUAGCGGCGGACGGGUGAGUAACACGUGGAUAACCUACCUAUAAGACUGGGAUAACUUCGGGAAACCGGAGCUAAUACCGGAUAAUAUAUUGAACCGCAUGGUUCAAUAGUGAAAGACGGUUUUGCUGUCACUUAUAGAUGGAUCCGCGCCGCAUUAGCUAGUUGGUAAGGUAACGGCUUACCAAGGCAACGAUGCGUAGCCGACCUGAGAGGGUGAUCGGCCACUCUGGAACUGAGACACGGUCCAGACUCCUACGGGAGGCAGCAGUAGGGAAUCUUCCGCAAUGGGCGAAAGCCUGACGGAGCAACGCCGCGUGAGUGAUGAAGGUCUUCGGAUCGUAAAACUCUGUUAUUAGGGAAGAACAAAUGUGUAAGUAACUAUGCACGUCUUGACGGUACCUAAUCAGAAAGCCACGGCUAACUACGUG
rnacentral:rRNA from 1 species